rnacentral:rRNA from 1 species
CCUGCCCAAGAGAUCGGGAUAACACCUGGAAACAGAUGCUAAUACCGGAUAACAACAGAUGAUGCCUAUCAACUGUUUAAAAGAUGGUUCUGCUAUCACUCUUGGAUGGACCUGCGGUGCAUUGGCUAGUUGGUAGGGUAACGGCCUACCAAGGCGAUGAUGCAUAGCCGAGUUGAGAGACUGAUCGGCCACAUUGGGACUGAGACACGGCCCAAACUCCUACGGGAGGCAGCAGAG